CCUACGGGAGGCAGCAGUGGGGAAUAUUGCACAAUGCGGGGAACCCUGAUGCAGCGACGCCGCGUGAGUGACGAAGUAUUUCGGUAUGUAAAGCUCUAUCAGCAGGGAAGAAAAUGCCGAUACCUGACUAAGAAGCCCCGGAUAACUCCGUGCCAGCAGCCGCGGUAAUACGUAGGGGCCAAGCGUUAUCCGGAUUUACGGGGGGUAAAGGGAGCGUAGACGGCAGUGCAAGUAUGUAGUGAAAGCCCAGGGCCCAACUGCGGGACUGCUUUGGAAACUGUCCGGCUAGAGUGCUGGAGAGGUAAGCGGAAUUCCUGGUGUAGCGGUGAAAUGCGUAGAUAUUAGGAGGAACACCAGUGGCGAAGGCGGCUUACUGGACAGUAACUGACGUUGAGGUUCGAAAGCGUGGGGAGCAAACAGGAUUAGAUACCCCUGUAGUC
rnacentral:rRNA from 1 species